AUGAGGCUGCUGGGUCUUCUCCUGUGCCUGGUCACAGCUCCCCAAGGUGUCCUGUGCCAGGUACAGCUGCAGGAGUCAGGACCUGACCUGGUGAAGCCCUCACAGACCCUGUCCUUCACCUAUGCCGUGUCUGGUUACUCCAUCUCUAGUGGUUACUGCUGGAUGUGGAUCCGUCAGCCCCCAGGGAACGGGCUGGAGUGGAUAGGCUACAUAUGUAGUGGUGGUAGCACUUACUACAGCCCAUCCCUCAAGAGUCGAGCGUCCAUCUCCAGAGCCACGUCCAAGAACCAGUUCUCCCUGCAGCUGAGCUGA